GACGAACGCUGGCGGCGUGCUUAACACAUGCAAGUCGAACGGUAAGGCCCUUCGGGGUACACGAGUGGCGAACGGGUGAGUAACACGUGGGUGAUCUGCCCUGCACUUCGGGAUAAGCCUGGGAAACUGGGUCUAAUACCGGAUAGGACCACUGCCUGCAUGGGUGGUGGUGGAAAGCUUUUGCGGUGUGGGAUGGGCCCGCGGCCUAUCAGCUUGUUGGUGGGGGGAUGGCCUACCAAGGCGACGACGGGUAGCCGGCCUGAGAGGGUGACCGGCCACACUGGGACUGAGGUACUGCCCAGACUCCUACGGGGGGCAGCAGUGGGGAAUAUUGCACAAUGGGCGCAAGCCUGAUGCAGCGACGCCGCGUGAGGGAUGACGGCCUUCGGGUUGUAAACCUCUUUCAGCACCGACGAAGCGCAAGUGACGGUAGGUGCAGAAGAAGGACCGGCCAACUACGUGCCAGCCGCCGCAGUAA
rnacentral:rRNA from 1 species